rnacentral:lncRNA from 1 species
ACAUUGCCUUCAGAAACUUCAGCUAACUACCCUUACACCUCUCCACCACCACCGGCCUCUCCUCCCUACCAUUACAAGUCACCACCGCCUCCUUCUCCUUCUCCUCCAGUGCACUACUCACCACCUAAGCAUCCCUACCACCCUAAGUCACCACCACCUCCUGUGUACGCACCACCUAAGCAUCCCUACCACCCUAAGUCACCACCACCUCCUGUGUACCCACCACCUAAGCAUCCCUACCACCCCAAGUCACCACCACCAUCACCAAAGCCUUACCACUACAAAUCCCCACCACCACCUCCUGCUCCAGUGCACUCACCACCCCCACCUAAGGAGCCAUACCACUACAAGUCCCCACCACCACCACCCAAGAAGCCCUACCACUACAAAUCUCCCCCACCACCUCCUCCUCCAGUUCACUCACCACCACCACCCAAGGAGCCUUACCACUACAAAUCUCCACCACCACCACCCAAGAAACCUUACUAUUACAAGUCUCCUCCACCACCACCAAAGAAGCCUUACCACUACAUGUCUCCUCCCCCACCGGUGUACUCACCACCUCCACCAGUGCACUCACACCCACCACCAAAAAAGCCUUACCAUUACAAAUCUCCUCCCCCGCCAGAAUAUUCACCAGCUCCACCAGUGCACUCAACCCCACCACCAAAGAAGCCCUACCAUUACAAAUCCCCACCACCACCACCACCACACAAGAAGCCUUAUUACCCUGUUCACUCACCACCUCCACCUAAGAAGCCUUACCACUACAAAUCCCCACCACCACCUUCUCCUACUCCUCCUAAAUACUCACCACCUAAGCACCCCUACCACUACAAGUCUCCACCACCACCACCAAAGAAGCCUUACCAUUACAAGUCCCCACCACCUCCUUCUCCUACUCCCCCUAAAUACUCACCACCUAAGCACCCCUACCACUACAAGUCACCACCACCACCACCCCAAGAAGCCUUACCACUACAAGUCUCCACCACCACCACCUCCUCCAGUUCCCACACCAUCUCCACCCAAGAAACCUUACCACUACAAGUCUCCCCCACCACCCCCUCCAGUCUACAAGUCUCCUCCACCACCAGUUUACUCACCACCACCACCACCUAAGAAACCUUACAAGCCACCAACUCCUCCAGCAGUUCACCCACCACACGGUUACAUCUAUUCCUCACCCCCACCUCCUCACCACUACUAGAUAUUGAAAGUUUAAUUGCAUCAAGCUGGUAAGCUUCUCCAUUCUAUGCUAUUAUUCAUUAAUUAGUUAGUACUACUGUUGUCAAUUUGGAAAUCACCAUACAACCAAAUGCACACUCUGACGAAAUAACAUAUAAAUUCUAAUUGAAUAGUCUUUAUUUCCAUUUUUGGCUAAUAAUCCUUAUUAGCAUAUGGAUAAUGUAUUUCCAACAUAUCGUUAUUAACUUAUUACUCAAUUAAUAUUUCUUUUUCUUUAAAUUCAGUAGCCGUGUGUAACAAAUAGACCAAUGGCAGAGACCCAACAAAUAACAAUAAUAUGUCUUUGCAGGUAAGGGAAGAAGAAAGGUCAGAAUAAAGAGGGGCUGUUGAAGUCGAACAGCGCGCCUUAUUACCACACAAAGAAGAAGAGAGAGAAAAAAACGAGUCUCCACGCAGCUGCUGAUGUGACGUGUUUUAUGUAUGCGAUAUUCGAUAGAGGUUCAUAUUUUCCUUGGAAUAUUAGACAGUUGUAGGGCACUCAUGUUCCAUGUAUUUUAUUUCCUGUUUCUCAAAAGAGAUGGUAUAUGUAUGUUGUUUGUUUCAACCUUCUAAUGGAGAGGUGAUCAUCAUAAUAAUAAAAUAAAUACAUUCCCCAAAUUUUACUUAAUUUCUCAUAUAUCUGAUAUGUUUUACUCUCUUAAUUAAAGUUUCCUAAUAAUGUUAUAAAAACCACGUAUAUCACAUUGGUGUACCAUUUAUUCUCACAAGUAAUGUCACGUCAAUUAAUGAGUUUAUCUCAUUGAAUAGUAAUUGACUUGCUUACAUUAUAUGGUAAUAAUGUGGUGUAAAUAUGUCGCAUCGUCCUUAACAUCACUCUAAAUUUCUUGGUAAUAAUAUAUGCGAGCAGUGUUAACAAAUCAAAGGAUGAGAAAGAAGAAAAACUAUUUGCAAAUUCUUAUUCUUAAUAUUUCAUAAACACAAAAUAAAGAAGACUAUGAAUUGUUCAAAUGCAUACUAAGUGAUCUAUUUUGGCAAAUCAUCUUAGUAUUGUAUUAUUUUCUUCAAUUAAGUGAUCUAUUUUUUUUCAAUUUGUUUUCCAUAUUUCAUGGCUUAAAUUUGUGAUUACUUUUUCAACAUAAAUGUCAAAUACUUUUUCUAAAAGUUAAUGUUGUCUAUUAUUUAUCCGUUGCUGGGAAAAAAAGUUAAAGUGGUAAUCUUAUUGAUAAAACUUAGUUCACUACACUAUAUAUACAAUUGUCUUCCGGUAGACCAUCAUGGAUAAAAAAUCAAAAGGAUUAUCGAAACCCCAAAAAAUUCUCACUAGUAGAAAGAUUGUUCAAAUUCUACAAUGAACCACAAGAAGUCUAACUCACUUGGUCAUUGCUGAUUGACUAUCAUUACUAGGUUAAAGCAACAUUUUAAGUUUUAACCUAAAUAGGAUCUCAACAAGCUAGGGUUUGAGAUUAGUGUUUUAGGUGACGACAGAGCUCUUUCCUUUCUUUAUGUUAUCCAAACUCUUUUUCUUUUUUCAUUUUUAUCAAGAAACUGUAGGUCUCAAUCAAAUUUAUGGAUUAUGGAUUUUAGUUAUGUAUUCUUAGUGUGGAAAUUUGACUAUAAAAUACGUUGACACUUGUCCUUUAAACUAAUGCAACCGAACAAACUUGUAGUUAACAAUUUUAUUAAGAGAGAUUAUAUUCACACACUUCAAAUUACUUAUGUCACACCUUUCUAAUUUUUUAAUAUUUUCUACACACCACUAACACUUGAAAGAAAAAAUAUUAAAAAAAUUAAAAGAGUGUGGGGCAAGUAAUUUGGGGUGUGUGAAUAUAAUCUCUCUUUCAUUAAAUCAUAACAUGGUGGAGUGAGUAAGUGAUGAGGAAAGACAAUUACGUCGCUCAUAUGCAAAUGAGUGGACAAACCUUCCAAUGGAUGCAACGGUGGUCAUGAAUUAUGAUUGUGUGUAGGGUUUCGAGUUACCGACGUUGACUGUCAUGCAAAUUGAGUACGUAGCCACUUACACUUAAUGGCAGAGGUCGAUGAUUUGCGCUACGGAAAAUGGUUUGAUUUGCUUAUACCAAUUACCAAACAAAGCAAAUAUAUUCGUCCUUUUGGUUUGGUUGUCAACUGUCAAGUAUGCGUUAGAAUUUUUUAAUUUGGGUUAAAUAAAAUAAAAAAACAAUACUCAAAACUUUUUGGGGAUGAGAUCUGAGAAAUUUAAUUUUUUCCCUUCAUAUAUUAGGGAUGAAAGUUGACUUAAUCACACACAAUGGAUCAUACCAACAAUAAUUUAGUAUCGAAUUCAUCAUUCAUGAAAAUCAUAUUUGAGCCUAAAUAAAAAUAAGCAUGUUAUGGGGUCAAUCUACUUUUAUUUACAGAAAGUUGCACGACUCAGGCCCACCAACUUCAAAGCCUAAUUCAAGAUCAUAUCACAAAGCUUGGGCGACCUUUUUGUCCCCCUCCUAGCUAUUCGAGGGCUUGGGUAGAUCUCUCUAUGAAGUGCGUCCACCACGCAGAUGACCAGACCCGGGAAUAUCUCGCCUCCUUAAAUGUUGAUGUACGCAUCAUCUAACAUGCUAAUGUCACCAUUGCAAUUAUGAAAACGGCCAUGAAAUACAGUUUAAGGCCACCAACCAGAAAUUAUAGUCAAUGUCAACUCACCGAUCUACCCAUGCUCCAUCUUAGCCAUGAGAUCGAGGUUGCUCUUGCUUCAUUGCCUAUAAAUAGAGUGGGAAACCUUCAAACUUAGGACCUUCGUCUGAUCCAAUCUCUACAAUUAUAUAAAACCUCGAUUGAUUCUUCAAUCAACCCAACUUCUUUCAAAGUACAAUCCAAUUGCUCUUCAACUACAAUCACAAAGCCUUCGUUAAAAGCAAACAUUGCCUAUGUCCCUGAGAUCUUAAACUUUUACAGCUUUUCCAACCCGUGGUAUGAUUCGGUUGAUGUGUCAAUCCAACCACCCUGAUUUCCUCUUAGAGGCACAUGUUUUGGACUAAGUCCAAUUUGAUACCAGAGACCUCAGUGGACUCCUCUAGCAUUAUCUAUCCCUUCAUGGCCUAAAUCUUGUAAGAGUUUUUACAGCUUUCUUUACAAUUUUACUCAAUUUUCAUUUCAAGUCAUGUAGCUCGGCCCAUCGGCCAAGAUUUUACUUUUAUAUAAUGCUUGUAAUGUUGACUUCAUUAUGAAAUAAUUACAUUUUGUUCAUCACAUUAUUUUCCAUUUUCCUUUUUCAUGUUUUAGGCAAAAACACAAAAAAGUUACAUUGAAUUUUAAGUCCUCAUUCACUCAAGGCAUAGAAAAAAACUUAAACGAACUAGCGUCUCAUUCAAUGCACAACAAUUGGUUAAGAAGUCAGAUCUUUGCGCAACUUUCACACACAUCCAAAUACAAAGAUUGUCUGUUGACAGCCUCCAACAAUAGCACACCCAUUCUCUCAUUUUCUCGAGCCACCUCGUGACAUUGAUAUAAAAAAUAACACUCGGGGAAAAUAAAAGUUACAGUAGUAGUGAAAGAAAUUUAGUUGUUGUAAUAACUGAAUUUUGAAGGGCAUAUUAAGUAAUAAAAAUUAUGAGCAGAUAGUAUUUGCCCCAUUUGGCCUAGUGUCGACCAAAAAUGUACCUUCACCUAGAAAAGGAUUGUAGAAAGUGAAGUUAGUUCAAUAAUUGUCCUCUUUUUUGUUUUCUUUUUCGAUAUUUUAAGUGCUAUAUUGAGACUUUGGGGGCUUUUUUUUCCCAAAGCUCUGGCCUAUUCCGCGAAGAACUGAGAUUGAAUGGAGACUUUAUCAUUCUCACUAAUAUUAUAAGAAAAAUUGCACAAUACCAUUGUAUUAUUAAUUUGAGACAAUGGUAUUAAUUAUAGACAUUACAAUAGUGUCAAGAAUAAUGCAAAUAACUCAUUCUCCUUUGUUUAUUAGGUCGAAUUUCACUAGCUACAAAUAAGUUUAGCGGGGUGUAAGGAUGGAGACUUUAUCAUUCUCACUUAUAAAUCAUCAUAUAUUUAGGUGUGGGGUAAGGGGUUGGGGUAGAUUAGGUCCCAGGUUCGAGGCCUGGUGGGGUGGGGUGGGGUUGAAAAAAAAAAUCAUAUAUUUAGGUGUGGGUUUGGAAGGUAGACUUGAUUCCGCGGUGUUUUGAGGAGGAGGAGGGCAAUCUUAUUCUUGGUUUACCAAUAAGUUUAGCAGGGUGUAAGGAUAGAGUCAUAUGGCACUAUUCAAGAAAAGUUGCAAAACCACUAAAACUUUAUUUUAAGAGUCAAAUCUACUAAAUUCUUCUCCAAGAGACUUGAUAAAGGACUCUAUAUAAUAGCAAGUUGCUCUUUAAAUUUAUAAGUAAUGCCUAAUGGGGCUUUUAAGAAAAUAUUAAUAUUUAAAAAAAAAGUAUUAAUUUUUGUUUUAGACAUUGUAUAAGGAAAAUGAUAAGCAUACAUCCUUUUUAGCCUCGAUCAACACUUAUAUUUAAUCUUGUUCAUUAUUUUUGUUUGAUUUAUACAAUGCGAUGGUCAAAAAAAUAAAUAAAAAAUAUGUUUGAGAAGUUAAAAAUGAUGUGUGAAAAUCACCUGCCAAUAAACAAAUCUAUUAUUAAAACUAAUACAAACUUUAAAACUAAAACUCAUGAUCAAUUAAGAAACGCUCAAGUCAAAUUCAUAAUAGCCAUAAAACAUAAAACACCUAAAUUUACUAUGCCAAUUCAAUCAACAAUCGUAUUAUAAAUAUGUUAAAUCCUUACAUGAAUGGAAUUGUUAGCCCAUCAAUCCAAGUAAUUGAAUGAUCUUUGGAGAUUUACUUAAGAGCAGUAUUAAUAUGAAUUAUGAACUUAUGAGAGAGAAAUAAUCUAUUAUUCUUUUCUCUAUUAGGCUAUAUUAUAUUUAUUUUGUUAUUGAAGAAAUUAUAUAUUGUAUAAUAUUUCCAUGGGGUGCAAAAACAUCGGGGCGCCUUUUUUUAGUUGGGGACCUUGUGCAAUGUCUUAUAUUCCUCCCCUUCAAUCCGGCACUGACAGGAAGGGAGAGAACGAUUUAAAAAAUGAACGGGUUGAAUUUGAAUUGAUAAUAAUUAGUAAAUUAUUUAAACUUUGUUAAAUAGAAAAUAUUGUUGAAAAUGAAAAGUUAAACUGAGUAAUUAAAAUAGUUUUUUUGACACUUUUCACUUGCUUGUUUAACAAAAAUUUAGAGCUUGUCUUUGAGAUACUCUUACUCCUUUAUUUAAAGGACUCGGCUUUUCUAUUAUAGCUGUCGUAUUCAAUAUUGUUGCAAUUAAUGAACUUAAAUCAUUUCGUUAUGACCAAAUUAAGAUAAUCAUGGACAUGUAGAUUAGGUAGCUAAUUCUGAUUUUGACUCGAUCACAUCAAGGUUAUCGUAAUUAAUGUCGGUUAAUUUAAUAUGCGUCUCUGAUCUGAUUACAUUACCAUGGUACGUAAACAUGUGUAUCCAUCUGCAAGACUCAAGAUUUAUAAUUUUGUUUUGUUUACUGUUUUUACGAAGAUAUUUAUGAUUUGAUUUUAUAAUAAAUUUUUUUUUAAAAAAAAAAUCAGAGCAAAACUGCAUCAUGGCCAACAAUCCAGCCAGAUUCAGUUCAACUAUAAUUUUGGCCAAUUUUUCAAAGCUGAUGGAUGUUAGUAGAUUUGUGUGGGGAACACUGAAAAGGCUAGAUUAUGAAAUACCAGAAAAGUAUUGACAUUUCAAUUGCUUAAACCAACCAUGAUGAAGAGUUCUAUGAAUUAUUUUUCAAAAUUUGAUUAAAUUGUGUCAUCCAGAUUAACGAACAUUGUUUCAUUGAAAUUAGUUCAUCAAGAUUGCGUAACUGGGAUAGCUUUCACACUGUAUUAACAUACAAAGAGGCUCUACUUCGUUAGAGUGUUCAAACUGUACACGUAAUUUGACUGCCGUACACAUUUUUCUUAUAUCUCUCCAAUCAACUUUAUUUUUCCUUUUGAAUAAAUUAAAGAUAAAGAAAGAAAACCAUUUUGCCUUAAAUGGCAAGAGAUUGAUGAAAAUCUACUCUAAAGAAGGGACAGGAUAUAUAUAAAUUAAAAUUCAUCAUGUACAAAGUAAGCGUAGGACAUUUUCAUCAUUUUACUUUGUCGUGCCCAUAAUUCUUUGCUCUAUAUAUUUUAUCUUUGUUGGUGGUCGAUGCUUUGGUUGGCUGUCAAUUGCGACGGACUGUCGUAAAAAUUGUCGGCAACCAACCAUGUGUUCUUGCAUGCCCGAUGUUCUCGCCACCUCACGUGGAAAUUUCCAAUGGAAUGGAGGGCCAAAUUUCAGUUUUUAUAUCAAUUUGUUUAUGUUAAAAUUUUCUUGUAAUAUAAGUCAAUGGUUGAAUUUGCAGUAGAAACAAACAAAAUAUGUGGACGAAUUUGAUAAAGUACAAGAAAAAAAAAACUGCAACUUAAGUAGAUGACGUGAUUCUUCACCCGGACAACAAGGAAGAAGACAUGAAAUCGGGAACACUGGAUGACGAAGUACACAAAUUAAACUUAUCUAAUCCAUUUUAAUAAAUUGUUACAGGGUGGCCAGUGGUCGGGAAUAAAUCACAGACUCGCAUUUCAGAUACCUCACGAACUUGAUUUUUGUUACUAACAAAUCACAUGAAGGUGACCAAGAGAAGGUUGAAAUGUCAUUGUGAGACGUCUUUCUUACCCUCGAAAGAUGAACUACCGUAAUGAAGCCACCAACUCAUCUUUUUAAAGGAAAGAAAAUCUAAGCCGUCCUAAUACAUGUUGUCACUCAUGGGAAUUAGAGAAGAAAUAUUCGUUAGCCACUUACAGUUGGAUGCUUAUUAUAUUAACUAGUUACAAAGUCAAAGGUUUUUCAUUGAAUGGAAUCAUAAGAUGUAAACAUCUAGGAUUAAUAUUUGGAAAAUAAUUAAACUCAAUCCCACCGCGUAGUUCUGUAACAAGUUUAUAUGUCUAAUAGAGUUUAUAGAUCUAAUAGUUAGUUAAGAGUAUUCAUUCUUACUCUUGAAGUUUUUUUGUUGACACUCUCUCUUUUAACCAUUUCUUGUAAUCAUUACAAGAAUUUGGAUUCUUUUAAUCCUAGGAGUGCAAUACUAAUUCUUAAUCUUUGUGUUAACCAUAAUAUCAUGACACAUAUCACCAAGUAUGAUCAGCAACUAGGAGAACGAGAGAAGAUGCGUGACUUAAGAAAAUUGAUGUGAUUUUGGAUUUUUUUUUACUUUAUGCACGCCCGCUCUUUAAAAAAAAAGAAAAAAGAUAUGUGAAAGGUGAAAAACAGUUGUUUCCGACAAACAUAAUUCACUUUCUAUAUGUGUACUUUGUAUUUUUUUUCAUCAAGUAAGGAAAUGGUGAAAAGAAAAAUGUACAUUAAUCGUAUCAUAUGAUAUAUUGUUCUUCUCAAGACAACUAAGAAGCUAAACUUAAUGUCAGAGAUUAAGACGUUUUGUUGGCUUGUCAUUCAAGGAAAGCUUAAUACAUAUAAUAUAGAGUUGGGAAGGUUAAUUUGUCCGUAUCUUGUGUAAAACAUGAUCUGGAUUUCAAACCCCCUAGACUUUUUGUUGUCCUACUCACGCAGCCCAUUCCCAAGUUCCAACCCUCCCAACAACCCUAUCCAGGAAGGCCAGCGCAGAUGUUAAGGCUGUGACCAGGGUUGUAAUACCAUCUCCAAUGGAUAAGUCAAAUCAUAAGUGGAAUGUCGCAUAAUUAAAUUUAAAAGUAAAAAAGAAGUUCCAACCGAUAGUUUUUCCGGAUCCUGAAAGAGUGGAUAACCGUGACUUAUCACCACUUGUCUUAUUUUUCGAAGAAAAAAAAAUGUCAAUCCUAUGUGAAUUAACAUGAGUUUUUGGUAUCAAAAUUGACAUGAAAAAUGUGUUGGCAAUUAAUUCUUUAGUGAUUUUAUUGUGCGGGUUUUAUUAAUGGACCAAUUCUAAAGCUUAAAAAUUAUUUUAAUUGAUUUCUUUUUCAUAAUGAACCUACGGAUAUUAAUUAUAAAUUUGACAUUACCACAUCAAUCGUUAAAAUUAACAUUUGACAUUCAUUUUUUGACUUUUCCAUUGAAGAUGUUCCAAUUAGCUUCAAAUGCCUUCGAGUUGAACUCAUGUUUGGGUCGUUUUAGGCAUGUUCAAUCUCUACUUGCAAGUAAAAGGAGUCGGGCACGAACAUAAUAUUCAGUUCGAUACAAAGAUGAGAUAGAAUUUUAGUAUGAUCAAAAGCUCGUAAAACUCUUAACAUCCCAUAUCAUUUUAUAUUGGACAUGCAAUCAUUUGAAAGUAUAGAGCUAUGCUUAAGCACAAAUUAUAUCAUUUGAACCAAGCACCUGGUACUUGGCGCGACUCAUCAACGCAGCUCUUGCAUUUUGUCCUUUGAUUUCUUCAAUAUAAAACCAUAAAUAAAUAGAAAUGUGCAAGAUAAGACGAGUCUGAUAAGAUUUCAAUAGAAGUGUUCCAUACGAACACUGUGCCAAGCACUUUUCAGCUGUUGGAUCGACGGAAUUUUACCACUGCUAGGCUAACAAUAUAAUUUCCGUUCGAUCUCUUUCAUAAACGAAACACUAAAACAUGAAUCGAUUUAUCAAUCACCCGAUUAACAUACUCCAAGAAACAGGAAAACAAUCAGUCACAAAUUACUCGCAAAUCGCAAUUAAAACGAAAGAAAUUGAGAAAUCCGGACUAGGCUACAAGCACGUCAAGUCAAGAUCGGCAAAACAUUUAAUAAAACACCAAAUCUGUCAUAUUUUCUGACCUUCCAAAUAUUCAAGUCCAUAACAGAAUGAACAAGCUGAAAACAGCAGAUGAAAUAUGCACAAAGGGAUACACCAAACGUACCUCCAUCGCGAGAAAGAUACACUGCGUUUUGUGAUCGCAUCUACACCAAGCGCUUCGUCCGACAAAACCAUCACUACACAUAUAGGUAUAGAAAAUAUCUAGCAUAGCGUCUUCAUCUCAUUUCUCAAACAGACAAUAUUAUACAAUGACAUUCAACUGGGUGUUUGCUUCGAUGAGUUCUACAACAGACAGGAAAUCAGAUCAUCAAGCACUAAUCACUAAUGACAUCGUCUCUUGAGCAAUCUCUCUAAUUUUCUCUUUCCUUGAGUGUACAGUAUAACCUCUAUAUUCAUAUGAGAAACAAACGAAAAAAACAAAGCCUCAUCCAUAUCCCAAACACCUAAAAAUGAGCCGGUCAGAAUGUUGCAAAAAGAGAAGUUUCGGGUAUUUCAGAAAUUUUCUGAGUCGUGUCAUAACUCUCAAGUGCCAUUGGAGGGUUCUGAAAUUUCCUGAGAUUUCAUGCAUUUAGUUCAGUGUGGGGCUGAGAGCCUGAUAGAACAAGGGAGAACCAAACAUCAAGAAAGACGAGAGAGAGUGUCCUACCUGGACUUCUUGGAGGAGAGAUUCAAGUUGAGCUGUUAUAUCGGAGAAGGAAGGCCGAUUGGAAGGAACUGAAUCCCAGCAACUCUGCAUUAAUUCCAAAACCUUGGGGUGUCCAUUAUUCGGAAUUUCCGGUCUCAGCCCCUGGGAAAUAGAAUGUCAAACAAAACAUAACUAUUUAGGCACAAAAGAAUUUGGAUAAAAUACUACGCUGAGUGAACAGCCAAACCAGUUGGUAUGUACCAUUGUACAUGAUUUCAGAGGCAUAAUUUAUACUUAUUUAUAUUAUAAGCAACAAAAAUGUCAUCAGAAGAUACAGAAAUUUGUUAUUCACUAAGUUUUACCCUUUUCUUGCGUUUAUAAAAUAUAUGCCUGCUUUGUAACAGCUUUUUUUAGUUUGAAUGGGAGGAUAUUCAGACCACAGGGUUACAAACAUAAACUCAGGCACGUCAUCAAUUCAAACUUUAAUUCGACAUGUAGAAUUGUCAACAUCUGUAAGAUACACACAUGGCAGGCAACAGGACGAAACACCAUAGAGGAAAAUUUAUAAUCAAGUUGCAUGAACUGUGGAUUAACAGGAUUUCUUAAGCAGCAAAUACAAUGCGGGCUAUAGAAAACACGUCUUCAUUCAUCAAUAUUCAAUACACAGACGAACAGAUAUAAAUAAUACAUAUGUAUUAUAAAUGGAUAUACGAAUAAACAAUAAACCUGUCUAACUCCCAAGGCAGCUUGCAAUGGAGUCAUGGUAUCAUAUGGAACCUGCAAUACAAAAUCAUACGAGUUUGAAAAUAAAUAAAUAAAAAAAUCUUAAGAAGUUUGAUAAUGUCCACAUCCAAAAUUCCCAAUACACAGAGGAAGCAUACUUUGGCUGUUACUAGCUCCCAAAGUACAAUUGCGAAACUGAACACAUCUGCUUUCUGAUCAUAUGGUUGAUGGUUGAUAACCUUGCAAAAUACAAGAAACCAAUAAGAUAUUGAAAUAAGAAUGUAAAUCAAUGUCGUCAAACUACGGUGCAUCUGCUAUGGUAAUGACGCAGUAACAAAACCAGAAUGUUGACAUCCAAAAUGCAAUUAACAAAACAGGAAAUUCAAUGAACCAUAGCCUGCUUGCCAAAACAAAGGGAUAUUGAUAAUUGUUUAUGAUAAACUAAUCAAUCCAUAGAUCACAACAAAGGACCAAUUUGUGAACCAAGUCCAACGGUUUAAGAGUUGACAAUAAUUUUCACGAAGAGACAAAGCAGGAAAAAAAAAGCAGAGGAAAAUAUUGAACCAGAAGAAUCGGACCUCAGGUGCCAUCCAUCGAUAGGUUCCAGUCUCUGCUGUCAUUACUCCCUCUUGAUUCUGAAACCGAGCAACACCAAAAUCUGCCACCUUUACAACCUGAAGGCAAACAAGAAAAUGAUUUUCAACUGUAAAAGAAAAGAAAAACCUAUUUGUUUUUCCUAAACAGAAAAAUAGAAUAGCCAGGAUGUGAGAGGAGAUUUCAACCAUUUAUACUUGGAAAUCUAACCAGGAAACAGUUUACCCAUUAUCAUAAACAAAUAAUGCUGUGUUUAGCUUUGAACUUUACUUAUAGUUAUUAAAAAAUAUAAAUAUACUUGUCGAAAGUAGAAUUGCAUUACCCCACAUCUUUAAACACAAAUCUAACUUCAUCAUUCAUGACAUCCUGAAAGUAUCAAAUUCACCAUCGACAAAAACUCAGAAGACAUCAAUUCCAGUAUGUCCAUGAGAAUUUUGGUCGAAUUGAACUUUUGACAUGCAGAUAUACUUCUCCCAUAAUCAAACUUCAUACCUCAAAGCACAACGCACAAUUACCCCAUACAAAACAAUAGACGGUUUGGUUACUCAAGUCCAAUAACUACAACUUAUAUCAACUAAAGCAGCAAUAGAUCCACUGAAGACAUUAGCCCUUUUAAAAAAAUUACAAACAAAUCUAUUGAACUUUAUCGUUUUCCUGUCGCCUAAGUUAAGCUGUAUAUGUACAAUGACAAAUUAAAUCAAUAGAGUUAUCAUGAAUAUGCGUAGGUUACAUUUUGCAGAAAGUGAAGCUGCCAAACAAGCAAACAAUAACCUUUAAUUCUUACAUUGUUAGUGUCCAUUAGCAGAUUUGCCGUCUUUAGAUCCCUAUGAAUUAUGUUAUUAUGAUGCAAAUACUCCAUUCCUUUACAGACAUCAAUUGCAAACUUUAGCAGUUCUGAAAGCUUCAAGAUGUUAUGAUUCUUAUGCAAAUAAUCGUAAAGACUUCCACCGGGCAUAUACUCUGCAAAAAAUAAAAAACAAAUGAAUUUUCAUAAUUAUGGUAAUAGUACAAUACAGCAACAAGUCGGCACUGGACUAAUUAUACUCAUCUCAAACUACAAACAGAUCUAAACAGUAAAGUUUUACAUAAAGAAAUCAAGAUGAAAUCAACAAUAAAGCUCUAACCAUAAAAAGAUACCCUGCCAAAUACUAUCCCAAAAUUCUCAAGAAACAACAUCCAAAGGUAAUCCCAAAACAAAAUCUAUCCCACGAAUGAUUACAUCCUUCAACUCCUAACCUACAUGAAGCUUCAUAAUACGCACCAAGUUGCCAAAGGCUGGCUGAUUGACAAAUUACAUAUAAUAGGGAAUUCCAAUAUGCACGACAUCCAAACAGCUUAGAGGAAUUUAAAAUAUAUAACACACAAGUAAAAUCUUCCUAAAUGCUGCAUACUCAGAGAAGAAGUACUAGCGCAUCCAAAACUUAAAAGAGUAUAAAUAAUGUGUAAGUAUGUUCCAACAACAACAACAAGGCAUUUUCCCACUAAGUAGGGUAGGCUAUAUGAAUCCUAGAACGCCAUUGCGCUCGGUUCUGUGUCACAUCUUCUGUUAGAUCCAAGUACUCUUAAGUCUUUUCUUAUAGUCUGUUCCAAAGCCUUCCUAGGUCUUACUCUACCCCUUCGGCCUUAAACCUCUGUCCUGUAAUCGCAUCUAGUGUAAGUAUGUUCCAAGAAAGAUAUUUUUAGUUCCAUUAAUACUUCUCCUGAUCCUAAUAAAAAUUUUCAAAAAGAUAGAAUGAAAACUUUGGUUGGCUACACCUAUAUUGGUGGAAACCAUCCGAUGUCAUUGAUUUUUUGUAGAAUGAUAUCCUUUGGUCCAUAAAAGAUAUUUUAUGAGAUCCGUUUUGGCGAAUGGUAAAAGGGGAUAGCUUUUAAGAAGGGAAAUGUGAGUGUGUUGGGGUGGAUUUUCUCCCUUUUUAUGUUCCUUGUAAAAGAAUAUACUAUGCUUCACUAACAAAAUUAAAAAGUAAAAAAGAAAACUUAUAAACAAUCUGAUGCUUAUUCUUACUUUUCUUAGUUGCACUGCUUCUAAAAACAUCUCCACAUGUAAGAUUCUGAUACAGAAUGAACAAAACCUCGAAAGAAGCUAACUUAACAAAUAUAGUAAAUGUUGGAGGCAACCAACAGGAGAGUUCCAUACCUGUCACUAUGCACAAAUGUGGAGACUUUGUACAUGCACCGAUAAAGCGCACAACAUUACUAUGAUGGACCUCUCUGCAAUCAUAAAACAAAUAUAAUAUAUAUCAGUAUUGCUUAAUAGCAAUACGCAUGCCAACAUAACCUAUAAAAUGGAACAACAGUUUUCUUUUCCCUUGAAUAAGAGACAAUUUAUUAGUAAAGAAUAAGAUACAGAGAAGACACUAUGAAAAACUAGAAACAGCAAAAGGUGGAACCUAGCCAUGAAUUUUAACUGCCUAGAUGUGUGAAAUGCAGCAUGGGCUAGCUGCAUUUUACUUAACUAUCAGAAAAUUCAUUCACUUUAUGGGUUUCAAGAAUAGUUACAGCUAAUAUACCACAAAAUGAAAGACUAGCUGCAUUAAAUGUGAUUUUUUAAAUGACACAAUAAGACAUGUUUCUUGGUUCCAUUUGUAAUUACAUUUGGCAUAUUCUUCCAAAGCCUCGUCGAAAUAAAGACCAGCAACCUGGAUAUUCAACCAGCAAUCCUGGAUAUUCAACCAGCAAAUCCAGAAAACGUGAAGCAUUCUCUUGUCAUUCCCAGAGAUUAUAGGAAUUGUUCUUGUACAGGCUAGUAUAGAAGUUCAUUAUGGAGGAUGUUGGAAAAUAAUGGAAAAAUCUUUAAAAGUUUACAAGUGGAGAAGAGCUCUCAAUAGAAAUGAUAAGAGUGAUUUCAUAUGAACUCCCCAGCAGGGACCAGCCUAGAUUAAAAGAAGAUAAAGAUAGAAAAUUAUUCACCUUAAAAUUGCCACUUCUUGAGCAAACUCAUCCUCUAGAGCAUCAUUCAAAUGUUCAGAUCUCAAAAUCUUAACAGCAACAUCUUGACCAAGAUAAAUUCCACGAUACCUGAGAAUGAACAGUAAUAUAAAGUUAAGCAGCAGAGAAGACUAUAAACGAAUAAAGGAAUGCCAAAAAUAAAACAUAUCUUACAAAUCUCCACAUGACCCAGAUGCAAUUCUGUCUCCGAUCAUUAAUAAUCUUCGGUCUAUUUCCCAGAGUCCUGUCUUUUCUUUCACCGAUAAUUCUUUCUCCACAGCCGAAUGAGAAUGUGAAGAUCUUGACCAUGACCCCUAAAUUACCAAACAACAGAUACGUAUUACUAUCUUAUAAUUCUUCGAUUAUUUUAGCAUUGUGACGCAAUAUACCUCACUUCUAGCAAUUGCCUUUUCCAUAGCUUCAUACAGACCAUCUGUAUCCUGACCACAACAUUGCAAAGUCAGCAACAUUUGAACUCAGCACAGUUGUCAUAAAAUUAAUAUAAUCACAAUUCCCCUUAAUGUAUUCUGAAGACAUUUUCUUGGAGGAACUGUAGCUUUUUCGACUUGUCCAAUUUGAUAAAACCCAAUAUUUAUAACAAACAUAUUGGGAUGCAUUAGAUCCAAUAAUUGUAGCAAUGCCAUAUUACAGCCCAGAGAUAAACACUGACUAAAAAGCGUUCAUCCAUGCAUAAAAAGAGAAAGCACAUAAACAGCUUGCAGUAUAGCAAAAUCCAUAGCCAACAAAAAUAAGCAUAUUGUAGUAGCAAUGUACCACAUAUUUUAAGAAAGGCCAUCCAACGUUUCGUGUAUUGGAAAUUACUCAUUUAUAAUAUAAUAACAUGCAAAAUUUCAAGAUUCAAAACUCUGACAGUAGAAAGUAAUCUGUGAAUGACGAUAAACACAUUAUAUAGUAAAAGAAAACUACCUCAACAGGCCAUCCAUCUACCACAAAUACAUCUAAAGAGUAGCCAUCGCUCGUCGAGAAGACAUGUGCUUCACGGAUGUUAAGUUCCAAAUCCGAAAGCAAGGAAGAAAGCUACAGAAUGAUGACAUAAGUUAGAAAGAUGCGACCACAGUAUGGUUACACUUCUGCAGUUAUCUUGGAUUCUACAACAUAAACAAUGCAUAUAAUAUGUAUCAAAUGUACUGAAUAGUCCAUUGCUACCUUUAAAUUCAUUUUCCAAUUGAAUUUGAAGGCUAUAGAUUUUCAACUUUAUAUUAAUGAAAGAAAUCAUAAUGAAAAAGAACUCUUCCAAUACAACGUCUUCUCACAAUUAUAUUUAAUACCCAAGCUUACUGCAUUGAGGUGCCAGCGUGUGAGGUCUAGACACUAGAGUUGACACAAAACAUCAGAUGGAGAACCAUAAAACAUGAAUGACGGACCAUCACAGUGUCACAUGAAAACAAAGAUAGUUGCUUGAGUUAUAAACAUUAGGUAUUGAACACACAUUCAUAUUAGUGAGUACCAAGAGAACUGCUUAAGUGGAGACAGAGUAUUACAGGAUAAUGAAGCUAUCAAAUGAUGUCAAAUUUCAAUACCCUUUAACAUUGAAGAAAUUAUGUACAUGUGGACACUAAAACUACAGAAAUACUAUCACUUGAUGCUAUUCAAUCAGAUGAUCCUUUUGAUUAUUAAUUGAAAAAAGGAAUGCUGAAUCCAACUUCAUGAUCCAGAAUGUAAGUGCAAUAUCAGAUAAGUUUGUCCACUAUCCUAUCAUACUAAUCUUAUAUGACCCCUUUGAGAUAUAACUCGUUGAACAGUUGAACUUAGUUUACCAAAUAGACCUUCAGCUUUAAUUUGCAAACACGUAAGGGAACAAUCAGCAGAUUUUCGGGCUUCAAACUCUGAUUUCUUUUCAGAUUCUAAGAAUAUUUUGAAACUGAGAUCGAGGUAAACUCCAGGUGGUAAUACCAAACUUGACAACAAACGAAUAAAUUAAACCUUCUCAGUCAUACCUGGCUAAGAAGCUUAGGCUUGUCAAUAGUUGAAAAUAUUACUUCAUGAAUGGGAACAUGUGGUAUAUCUUGCCUGCGUUAUACAGCCCAAUGGUCAAUAUCAUUUCUGCAUAAUUAUACAUGUUUUUUCUUUAAAUGAGAAACAAAGUUUUACUAAAGAUACUCAAAAACACAGUACAAGACUCUGAACAAACUGGUCCACCAACAAAAUGAUUCAACUAAUGAAAAACAAAUCUGAAUUACACCUAUGACAAUGUAAUGGAACUUUCAAAAUUACCCUAUAAGAGCUUCCCAAUCUAAUAAGAUGUUAGAAAUUGGUAGAUCCCUAAAGGGUGGAGAAAAACAAGCUGAUAAGCAUAAAUGUGAUCUCUCAAAUAUACGGGCACAGUUCAUAUAAAAACUGCACAAUUAAAAUAUAAAGUAUAUGAAAAAGACCCGGAUAAAGGAGGAGGGGGAGGGCGUCAGGUAGUCGACAGCCGGCACUCCAUGAUCACGUCGAAUCCUUAUGAAAAUGAAUCCAGAACAAAAUCGCGCUAAAGCUAGGGCGUCACCCGUAAGUGGCGCGCUGUGUGGCCUGAGCACAGUGAUAAGUGAGCAAGGGUCGCUGUAUCUCCAUCGGCACCCGGAUGCAGUGUUAAAUGAGCAAGGGGGCCAUAGAAACUUCUUUUCGAACGACUCCACUCAAAGUUGUUUGGGAGCAUAUGCUCCUAUCAACUUUACCCGGGACACACAAAAGAAGUACUUUGAUCCUAUUAGACGGGGGAGGGUGAAGAAGCUAGGACAGAAGGGUAGAGUUCAAGAGAGCAAAAUGCGUUUAGGAACGUGGAAUAUAGGAACCUUAACGGGAAAAUCUAUGGAAGUAGUGGAAGUUAUGGUGAGGAGAAGGAUAAAUAUUAUGUGCCUACAAGAAACUAAGUGGGUUGGUAGUAAGGCAAAGGAUCUAGAAAACUCAGGGUUUAAACUUUGGUAUUCGGCACAAAUAGAACGAGAAACGGUGUUGGCAUCAUCGUGGACAAGACCUUGGUACAAGAUGUUGUAGAUGUCAAGAGGGUAGGAGAUAGAAUCAUGGCAAUCAAGAUUGUAAUAGGACAAGAACUUAUCAAUGUGAUUAGUGCGUACGCACCUCAAGUAGGGUUGGAUACGAGUUCGAAGGAGAAAUUUUGGGAAGAUCUUGGAGACUUGGUGCAAGGAAUUGCUCAGACGGAGAAGUUAUUUAUAGGAGGAGAUUUAAAUGGACACGUGGGCAGGGAGACAGGCAACUAUGGAGGUUUUCAUGGUGGCCAUGGUUUUGGGGAGAGAAACGAGGAUGGGGAAGCUAUCUUGGAUUUUGCAAUGGCAUAUGAUCUCUUCUUAGCCAACACCUUCUUUAAGAAGAGAGAAGAACAUGUGAUCACCUACAAGAGUGGGUCGUCAAAAACACAAAUAGAUUUUCUUCUAAUGAGGAAAGGGGAUCGUAUAACUUGUAAGGAUUGCAAAGUUAUACCAGGAGAGAGCGUGGCUAAUCAACAUCGCUUGUUGGUGAUGGAUGUACAUAUCAAAAGAGUAAGACAAAAGAACAAGACUUGGAAGUGCCCAAGGACUAGAUGGUGGAAUCUAAAAGAAGAAAAACAAGCCAUUUUCAAAGAGAAGGUAAUCACCCAAUGUGUGUGGGAUAGAGAGGGGGAAGCUAGCCAAAUGUGGGAUUCCAUGGCUAGUUGUAUCCGAAAAGUAGCAAAAGAGGUAUUAGGAGAGUCCAAGGGCUUUGCCCCACACCAAAAGGAAUCUUGGUGGUGGAAUGAGGAGGUACAAACAAAGGUGAAGGCUAAGAAGGAAUGUUGUAAAGCCUUAUACAAGGAGAGGACUGAUGAAAAUGGUGAAAGGUAUAGAAAAGCGAAGCAAGAGGCGAAGAAAGCUGUCAGAGAAGCUAAGUUAGCGGCUUACGACGAUAUGUAUAAACGACUAGAUACCAAAGAAGGAGAGUUGGAUAUCUAUAAACUAUCUAGAGCAAGGGAAAAAAGAAGACAAGGGACCUAAACCAAGUGAGGUGCAUCAAGGAUGAGGAUGGAAAGGUUCUUGCUACAGAGAACGCGGUUAAAGACAGAUGGAGAGGUUAUUUUCAUAAUCUUUUCAAUGAAGGACAUGAAAUGAGUGCUUCUUUAGGGGAGUUGAGUAACUCAGAAGAGUGUAGAAACUACUCUUUUUAUCGUCGAAUCCGGAAGGAAGAAGUGGUUGUAGCUUUGAAGAAGAUGAAGCAUAAAAAAGCAAUAGGCCCAGACGAUAUACCAAUCGAAGUGUGGAAACUUUUGGGAGAGACAGGUAUAACAUGGCUCACUGACCUUUUCAAUAGGAUUUUGAAAACGAAGAAGAUGCCAAAUGAGUGGCGAAUGAGCACUUUGGUGCCUAUCUACAAGAAUAAGGGCGACGUACAAAAUUGCAUGAACUAUAGGGGUAUUAAGCUAAUGAGUCAUACAAUGAAGCUCUGGGAGAGAGUCAUUGAGCAUAGAUUGAGGCAAGAGACACGGGUUUCGGACAACCAAUUCGGGUUCAUGCCAGGGCGCUCAACCAUGGAGGCAAUCUAUCUCUUACGAAGAUUGAUGGAAAUAUAUAGAGAUGGGAAAAAGGAUUUACACAUGGUCUUUAUAGAUUUGGAAAAAAGCGUAUGAUAGGGUCCCAAGAGACAUUCUUUGGAGGAUUUUAGAGAAGAAAGGAGUAGUACGAGUAGCAUAUAUCCAAGCUAUAAAGGAUAUGUAUGAAGGAGCAAAGACUGCCGUAAGAACUCAUGAAGGACAAACCGAAAGCUUUCCCAUAACUGUAGGAUUACAUCAAGGCUCAUCCUUAAGUCCUUACCUUUUUGCGUUGGUAAUGGAUGAGUUAACACGACAUAUUCAAGAUGAUAUUCCUUGGUGUAUGCUUUUCGCAGACGAUAUAGUGUUGAUAGAUGAAACUCAGGAAGGGGUAAAUGCAAAGCUUAACCUUUGGAGAGAAGUGUUGGAAUCUAAAGGUCUUCGCCUAAGCCGAUCAAAGACAGAAUAUAUGGAGUGCAAGUUCAGUGCAAAUGGAGGCCAAAACGAGUUAGGGGUGAGGAUCGGAGAUCAAGAAAUACCAAAGAGCGACCGUUUUCGUUACCUAGGAUCUAUCUUUGCAAAAGAACGGAGAAUUAGAUGGAGAUCUCAACCAUAGAAUACAAGCUGGAUGGAUGAAGUGGAAGAGUGCAUCCGGCGUGUUGUGUGACCGCCGUAUGCCACUGAAGCUCAAGGGAAAAUUUUAUAGGACGGCAAUAAGGCCGGCGAUGCUGUAUGGCACAGAAUGUUGGGCGGUGAAACAUCAACACGUACACAAAAUGGGUGUAGCGGAGAUGAGGAUGCUUCGUUGGAUGUGUGGGCACACGAGAAAGGAUAAGAUUAGGAAUGAGGAUAUCCGGGGUAAAGUAGGAGUAGCCGAAAUUGAAGGAAAGAUGAGAGAAAAUCGGUUACGGUGGUUUGGACAUGUGCAAAGAAGGCCUACUGACGCUCCGAUUAGAAGAUGCGACUAUGGGACAGAGGUUCAGGGCCGAAGGGGUAGAGGAAGACCUAGGAAAACUUUGGAAGAGACUCUAAGAAAAGACUUAGAGUACUUGGAUCUAACGAAGGAGGACAUGACACAGGAUCGAGCACAAUGGCGUUCUAAGAUUCAUAUAGCCGAUCCCACUCAGUGACUUGGAUUUUCCAAGUCUCCAACCGAGAAGUUUUCCUCACUCGGGAAAUUAAGGGAACACUACCCCAACCUACAUGCUCCACUCAGAAAGCUUCAACAUACAAGCUUCAACAAAAGAAAAUUCAAAGAACUUAGCGAAGAAGGCUUUGGUGUAUUUAACACAAUACGUUGAAAUGAAGGAAAGCUUAUUUAUUGAUAUCCCCGAUAAGCUACAAAUAUGUACAUAUACAUGAGUCAAAAUAAACACAAGAGGGAGCCUUCACAAAGGUUGCUUAGGAGAAGUCUCAGCAGUCGGUAGAGCCCCAGAAAGAGAAGGCACCGGAGGGGGAUCAUUUGGAGCCUCAGUACUGGACAGAACCCUAGAAGGAGGAGGCAUCAGAGGUUGAUCAUUUGGAGCUUCAUUACGCGGUACAGCCCCAGAAGACGAAGGCAAUAAAUGCCUUUGGAACAAACCCACAAAUCUCUGAUGAUCAAGUAAAACCUGACCAUCAGUUUCCUUCAUCUGGUCAAGCUUCCUCUUCAUGUUUGUAGCAUAGUCAUGUGCGAGCCGGUGCAACUGUUUAUUCUCAUGCUUGAGCCCUCUAAUCUCCUGUUUGAGACUCAUCACUUCAGCCGCCAAUGAUUCAACUUGGCGGGUUCGAGCAAAUAGGCGUUGGGCCAUAUUAGACACAGAACCUGCACACUGAACACUGAGAGCCAGCGAAUCCUUAACAGCUAACUCAUCAGACCGUUUGGAAAGUAGUCUGUUAUCUUUGGGAGUGAGAAGGUUCCUGGCCACCACCGCAGCGGUCAUAUCAUUCUUCAUCACGGAAUCCCCAACGGUAAGAGGACCAGUAGGGGAGACGAAGGAUGGGCGCCAUAUGUUGUCUGGAGAAGGCGGGGCUGCCUCUUCAACAAGGUUCAAGUCAAAACGACGGUCGGAGGGGCCAGACAUUUUCAAAGGUGUUGAAGAGAGAAGAGGUCGGACAAAUCAAGAUCUUAGAAGUGCAAGAAUGAAGCUUCUACUGGUGGAGAUUCAAGUGUGCUUUGGAACUUAAUGCCAGCCCCUAUAUAAAAAUCUGCACUCGACGAAGCUUUAGAAAUCGAAGAGGCGCCUGCUCAGAAAUCGAAGAGGCGUUUGCUUUCUCAAAAGCUGGGCUGCUUAGAGAUCACGAGGGUUGAUCUCAGAAAUCGAAGAGGUGUUUGCUUUCUCAAAAGUUAGGCUGCUCAAAGACCACGAAGGCCGAUCUCAAAAAUCGAAGAGGCGCUCGCUUUCUCAAAAGCUGGGCUCCCCAGAGACCACGGGGGCCGAUAUCAGAAAUCGAAGAGGCACCUACUUUUCCAGCCUUUUCCAGCCUUGUCAGCACCUGUCACACGCACACUCAGUUUUGCGGAAAUUAUGGGCAUUCUGUCAAAGACUUCUGGGGAAGUAGAAAACACAUGAAUCUUACUGUUCAAUCACCCACUUCCCACACGCAACAAUAGCUCAUGGGUACCACAGAUAACUUUGCCAAAGUUCUCUGCCAAAGUUGAGCACGUGAAGCUUGCAGCUCCUACUACAUCGCUCUGACCAAGAAGGGUAAAAGAAUAGCAAAGAAACAGCACUAACAAAGUUUAGACCCAUAAAUUUUGAAGGUCUAGCUACCAUAUUAUUACCCACAAGGGUAAAGGAACAGUACCACUGCUGGAUAAUUGGAAAGUCCCUGUGUGUCAACCUCUGUGCUUCGUGGCAAGGUAGACUAGCAAACAUGCCCAACCUUUACUCACAUUCGAGAAAACACUCCCAAUAAGAUUGCUUGCUCCAAAAUCGAAGAGGCACCGUCCUCCGAAUCUCGAGAGCCAGACUCCCAACAUGACUACUUUCUUAAAAAUCGAAGAGAGAGGGUAAAGGAACAGUACCAUUGCUGGAUAAUUGGAAAGUCCCUGUGUGUCAACCUCUGUGCUUCGUGGCAAGGUAGACUAGCAAACAUGCCCAACCUUUACUCACAUUCGAGAAAAACACUCCCAACAAGAUUGCUUGCUCCAAAAUCGAAGAGGCACCGCCCUCCGAAUCUCGAGAGCCAGACUCCCAACAUGAUUACUUUCUCAAAAAUCGAAGAGACACUGCUCCCCGAAUCUCGAGAGCCAGACCCCCAGCAUGAUUGCUUUUUCAAAAAUCGAUGAGGCAUCGUUCUCCGAAUCAAUCGAAGAGGCGCUCGCUUUCUCAAAAGCUGGGCUGCUCAGAGACCACGAGGGCCGAUCUCAGAAAUCGAAGAGGCACCUACUUUUCUAGCCUUGUCAGCACCUGUCACACGCACACUCAGCUUUGCAGAAAUUAUGGGCAUUCUGUCGAAGACUUCUGGUGAAGUAGAAAGCACAUGAAUCUUACUGUUCAAUCACCCACUUCCCACACGCAACAAUAGCUCAUGGGUACCACAAAUAACUUUGCCAAAGUUCUCUGCCAAAGUUGAGCACGUGAAGCUUGCAGCUCCCACUACAUCGCUCUGACCAAGAAAGGUAAAAGAAUAGCAAAGAAACAGCACUAACAAAAGUUUAGACACAUAAAUUUUUGAAGGUCUAGCUACCAUAUUAUUACCCACAACUGUAAAGGAACAGUACCACUGCUGGAUAAUUGGAAAGUCCAUGUGUGUCAACCUCUGUGCUUCGUGGCAAGGUAGACUAGCAAACAUGCCCAACCUUUACUCACAUUCGAGAAAACACUCCCAAUAAGAUUGCUUGCUCCAAAAUCGAAGAGGCACCGACCUCCGAAUCUCGAGAGCCAGACUCCCAACAUGAAUACUUACUCAAAAUCGAAGAGAGGGUAAAGGAACAGUACCAUUGCUGGAUAAUUGGAAAGUCCCUGUGUGUCAACCUUUGUGCUUCGUGGCAAGGUAGACUAGCAAACAUGCCCAACCUUUACUCACAUUCGAGACAACACUCCCAACAAGAUUGCUUGCUCCAAAAUCGAAGAGGCACCGCCCUCCGAAUCUCGAGAGCCAGACUCCCAACAUGAUUACUUCCUCAAAAAUCGAAGAGACACUGCUCUCCGAAUCUCGAGAGUCAUACCCCCAGCAUGAUUGCUUUCUCAAAAAUCGAAGAGGCAUCGUUCUCCGAAUCUCGAGAGCCAGAUACCACAGACCACUUUUUCAAAGUGCUCUGACAGAGUUAAAACAUGUGAAACUGGCAGCUCCCACUACCGUGCUAUGACCAAGCAGGGUAAAGGAAUAGCAUUACUACUUGUUGUUAGGGAGACUCCUAUAUAUGUCGACCUCCAUCCCCAACGGACAGGCAGACCUGCAAAAAUGCUCAACCCUUCAUCAUAUCUGAGAGGGCACUCCCAACGAAGCCUUUCGAAAUAUUCAGCUUUCUUUCCCCCCGAUAAUACCUCUGCAAACAAGCUAUACUAGAGCAAGAAUAUCUCAUAUCAUCAGGGUUAAAAGCAAGAGUAUCCCAUAUCAUGCUUUUUCCCUGUCUUUUCUUUUUGGCCUUGUUUUUACCUGCAAGACAAGGAGAAAGAGAGCAAUCAGUCAGCACUUGGAAUCAAGCUUCCAGCCAGGAACUGACUGCCUGGAACCCCUUACCUGAUUACUUACCUGGCAUUGCUCUCGAGUACUCAUCUUCAACAUCUUAUGUUUCCAGGGAAGAUUCCGCAUCUGCUUGAGGAACAGAUAGGGCAAGUGCGAAGGAUACAAGGAAGCAUGUGGAGACAAGCGUAACAGCACACGUGCCGAUACAUUCAUUACUCUGUCAAAAGCAAAAGUAUCCCAUAUCAGCAGGGUGGAACGUACUCUAGAUUUGAUGGACUUGUUUUGACCCUCAAAUUCUUCAGUCGGCCUUAUACUCUGGAGAAAACCAGAAAACCCUCCAGCUCAGUUCAAGAAUAAGCCUGUGGAAAGUUACUUCUUCAAAAGCAAAAGUAUCUCAUAUCAUCUCUUCUCAUUUUUCUUCUCUUUUAUCCUUCAUGCUGCUGCAAGAUGGGGAGAAGGUGAACAAUCAGUCGGAGCUCUGAUUGCUUACCUUGUCUGUCACCUCUUUCAGCAGACCCCUAGCUCGGCGACUUGGGGGACUCCUACUACAUGGUUUGUAUCGCGCUUGACCAAGCCUGAAACUACAAGUAAGCUUCAAGUGAAAUUGAUACAUUACCUUGUGCAUCUCCACCAGUUAAAGAUAUCCACCCCUGGAUGGAGGAAGAGUACUUCCAGAGAAGAUGCCACAUCUACCUAUGAGACAGAUAAGGCAAGUCAAGACGACACCACACUCCGAUACUUAGAAGUUUCGUGAUUACGAGAUCAUUCUCCCACAAUAUUUCCUAAUGUCAUUUGUACUAAAAUCAUUCACUUGUACUCACUAAAUGAGAGCUUGAACCUAUGUACUUGUGUAAACCCUUCACAAUUAAUGAGAACUCUUCUAUUCCGUGGACGUAGCCAAUCUGGGUGAACCACGUACAUCUUGUGUUUGCUUUCCUAUCUCUAUCCAUUUAUAUACUUAUCCACACUAAUGACCGGAGCAAUCUAGCGAAGAUCAUAAAAAGCGAUCGUUUUCGCUACCUAGGAUCUAUCUUGCAAGAGAACGGAGAAUUAGAUGGAGAUCUCAACCAUAGAAUACGAGCUGGAUGGAAAGAGUGCAUCCGGCGUGUUGUGUGACCGUCGUAGGCCACUGAAGCUCAAGGGAAAAUUUUAUAGGACGGCAAUAAGGCUAGCGAUGUUGUAUGGCACAGAAUGUUGGGUGGUGAAGCAUCAACACGUACACAAAAUGGGUGUAGCGGAGAUGAGGAUGCUUCGUGGGAUGUGUGGGCACACGAGAAAAGGAUAAGAUUGGGAAUGAGGAUAUCCGAGGUAAAGUAGGAGUAGCUGAAAUUGUAGGAAAGAUGAGAGAAAAUCGGCUCCGGUGAUUUUGAACAUGUGCAAAGAAGGCCGACUGACGCUCCGGUUCGAAGAUGUGACUACGGGACAGAGGUUCAGGGCCGAAGGGGUAGAGGAAGACCUAGGACAACUUUGGAAGAGACUCUAAGAAAAGACUUAGAGUACUUGGAUCUAACGGAGGACAUGACACAAAACCGAACGCAAUGGCGUUCUAGGAUUCAUAUAGCCGACCCCACUUAGUGGGAAAAGGCUUUGUUGUUGUUGUUGUUGUUGUUGUUGAUUAAGCAUUAAUAUCAGCAUAAAGAAAAAUUAUUUUCUAUUUUUAAUUUGGAAAAUAAGACCUUUAGCAUAUUACUUCAUAAAUAUGUGUAUUUACUAUUUAUGCGUGCAUGCAUAUGUUUGUCUUUAUACAAUUUCAUGAUCACAUUGUACACUUCUAUGUAUCAUGUCUACCCUUUAUACACAUGAAAUAUCAUAUACAGUAAUUGCUUGUCAACACAUUCAUUAGAGCUUUACAAAUCGUUUAUCUAAUUUCUGUUUGAUAAGAUACAACAAAUUUAUCAGAAUAAAAUUUUGAUAAAAAUAGUGCACAUUAAAGCAAGAAGAAAGUAAGUUUUAAACAAGUGUCUUCCAACCUAUAGAAAGAGGGCUUCUCAAAAUUCCACCCAAAACUUUAACACUGAAAGCCUAUAAUAAGGCAACAUACAUUAUUCUACCCCUAAUUGCUACAAAUUCUUGAUGCUUGACCCAUAGCAAUUUUUCAGUGUGCAUCUCAAUAUUAACUUAGUCUUCAUCAUCCCAAGUCCUCAAAAAUGUAUACGCAAAAUAUGAGAAGUCAAAUGAAGCAAAACAAUAACUAACUUCGCUGCACAUAACAAUCUGCUCCAUAACUUAACCAAUGCAUAUGUUCAUCCAAAAGAAAAUGAUGCAUCUAUUCACCAUUCUUUCUACUGUUAAUUCACCAUUUACGAUAUAAAGAAAGGUCUGACUCACCUUCGAAGAAAAUUACUAGUGCUAAAUUUUUCAUAAGCUUUGCCCAAGGUAAAAGUUAACUUUCCUAGGAACCAGUGGAUUCCAUUAAAUCUUUAGGAAAAAAACUGAUAGAGUGACAACCAAUCAACCUUCAGAAUAAAGAGUUCCUACAAAAGAGUUCCUCAAAAUAAUUAGGGACCAAAGCCAUUAUGACUUGUUGCUCUUGAUAUGCAAUGGGUUUCUAUUGAGCACUUUCAUUUUGGGUAUUGUUGGUUAGAGACCAAAAGCUUGCAGCUCACUAAGAUAAAGUAAACGAGUAAACCAAUAUAUUGGUGGCAAUUGAUGUAUCAAAUGGUAAGAAUUAAUCUGACAAUGUGAAAAGGAUGGUGAUUUUCACACCCCAUUUACCUCCCGCACACUCUUUCGAUUUUUUAAUAUCUUUUUGCUCUUCCAUCACUUUGUCUUUAUUUUAGAGGUGGGCCUUCACCAAGAGCAAACAAAUAUUAAAAUUUUGAAAAUGUGUGGGAAGUAACAUGGGGUGUGAGAAAAUCACCACCCAUGUGAAAAAAUUAAAAAUCUUGUUAUAAUGAACCCAGUAGUGCUUAUUCUAGAACAGAAAACAAGCCAACAAACUUUGGUUGAGUACCUUGUGGGAGAAUCCUUGGUCAGAUGUCUUCCGUCCAUAUCCUUAGCAUUCUUUCUAACAUCCAAAUUUAGGUCCCCGAGCUUAGAGCAAGGUUCAAAGUCAGCCGCACAAUUCCUAGUUUUACUCAGAGAAAUGAUAUAAAUAAAUGACAACCAAAAAAGGUCCACAGAUCAAUAUCCAGAGUCACCGAAACCCUUGUUGGGAAAAACUACGGCAAAAAGUUUAAGCACUCAGAGACAAAGUACAACACAGAUAUAAUAUGGUUAUUACCUAUCAUGUGACAGAGUAGCUCCUUCACUAGUUUCAUCACAUGAUGACCUUGGGGUUGAAACAACACUUGUACAUUGUUGAACAUCAUCAUCUUCGUCGUCUGUCCCCAUAGAAGUAUUCUGAUCAUAAGUACAUAAAAUGAUGAACAUAAGAGGAACUUAAUGAUAAAUAAAAGGGUAAAUCGCCAAAAUGGUCCCUGAGAUUUGCAUAACUUAUCACUUUGGUCCCCAAGAUUCCAAAUCGAUAAAAGUGGUCCCUGAGAUUGUCCACCAUCCAUCAUUUUGGUCCUUCCGUUAAGUGUCCCAGAGCUCUUGGCCAGAAGUUUGGGCAAUUUUCAAAGCUUCGUAACUCAAUCGUUUCUUAACCAAAUUCGAUCCAUAAUAUAUCAAAAUGAAGAUAGGAAAGUGUAGAAUAAGAUUAUACCUAUUUCGAAGCCCAAUGGUUGCCGGAGAUGGCCGGAAAAUAGCCUCAAAGUUGACUGGUCCGAGCGAAAACUUGAAAACUCGCCGGAAACUGGGUAAACUUUAAACGUUCGUAACUUCUUCAAUACUCAACGAAAUCAAGUGAUUCAAAAACGAAAAUCAUACUUCUCGAUGAGACAAAGAGAAUGGUCUAGGUACCAUUCUCUUUGUCUUGUCGAGAAGUAUUUCUCUUUGUCUCGUCGAGAAGUAUAAUUUUCGUUUUUGAAUCACUUGAUUUCGUUGAGUAUUGAAGAAAUUACGAACGUUUAAAGUUUACCCAAUUUCCGGCGAGUUUUCAAGUUUUCGCUUGGACCAGUCAACUUUGAGGCUAUUUUCCGGCCAUCUCCGACAACCAUUGGGCUUCGAAAUAGGUAUAAUCUUAUUCUACACUUUCCUAUCUUCAUUUUGAUAUAUUAUGGGUCGAAUUUGGUUAAGAAACGAUUGAGUUCCGAAGCUUUGAAAAUUGCCCAAACUUCCGGUCAAGAGCUCCGGGACACUUAACGGAGUUUUUAAUGGAAAAUGAUGGAUGGUGGACAAUCUCAAGGACCACUUUUAUUGAUUUGGAAUCUCAGGAACCAAAGUAAUGAGUUAUGCAAAUCUCAAGGACCAUUUUGGCGAUUUAGCCUAAAUAAAAUAGAAGGGGAAAAAAGAACUAAUGUCACAUUGGAACACCACACCACCAAAGUUUCUCAUGCUUUACAAGAUUCUGUAAGAUCUUAUUUUCAAGUGUAGUCAAGGCUUCUUUAGGUAAAGUGACAGUCAGUACAUGCAACAGGAUUCAUACAUUACUACACAUCGUGAUUGAUCCAUAUCCUGGUCAACAACAUUGUGAUAUCACAGUUCCAACAUUUUUUCCCAGAACCCCACAAUGUUUCCAAUAAAACAGCUAGUAAGAAAAUCCGAAUCAGACUAAAAGAAGGUAUAGUUGAAAUGCUAAUUAAUGAUAAUAACACGUAAAUAUCUAUCUGACGUAAUGACUUUUAAUUUUACUCUAAGAGACUAACCAUGUGGAGAAUCUUAUUGAAAGAAACUUGUAAUGACUUUUAAUUUCAAUCUAAGAGACUAACCAUGUGGAGAAUCUUAUUGAAAGAAACUUGUAUCAUUAAUUUAUCAAAGCAAUAUUAUUUCUGAGGUUAAGACUAAGGGCCUAGGUAAGGGAACUUUUGUUGAGUACUAACAUAGUGAAUAUCACAAGCAAAACUAGUGCGAAAAAUAGUCACCAAUUCGAGAUAAAUUUUUUAAAUGAACCUACAAGAGUUACAGUGAAUGUGCUAUAAAAAGGUUAGAUUAGAAUUUGGUUUUUAAGAACUUCACAUAGGCUGUCUCGUACACUUGUGAUGUAGACUCAAGUUUUCAAACCCAAAGCGCACAAGUUUGCAUUAAUAGGCAAGGAAUUUAUAGUCCUACAUAUUGGAACUUGAAAUCAUGCACCAACUUUAUCUUCUUCUUCUCGACUGAAGCCCUUUACCUAGUGCAAGCCAGAGACAAAAUAAAGUAGUAGUACUGAACCAUUUGUGUUACUUAUAACCUUCUUCUUCUCCGUUGAAACCACUGCUCUAUACCUUUUAAGGAUAACAUUUUCCCAAUUAUUCCAUCAUUUCUCAAAGCUAACCAUGGUUAGGGACAUUAUGAGUCAGAGUAAUUAUCAAGGAAGUCAUUGAUACCCCAUCCUUCUUUCCCACUCGCGAUUACUACAUAUAUGAACCUUUUGUGGCUUUAAAAGGAAAUAUAGUAUUCAUCCAAAUAAUUUAAAUUUUUUCUGGAAAAUAAUGAUUACGUGAAUGCAAGUUGUUGCAAACAAUCUAAAACGUGGCUUUUUAUAACAACAGGAAAUAAACUAAUACUUGGUUUAGCACUGGGACUCAAAGAAACUCUAGUUCAGAACAAGAUUCCAAACAUAAAAUACUGAAGCAAAUGAUGCGGAAUACCUCCAUGAAACGGAUAUGAUACACGGGCCGCUUCUCAGGGUCUUUUGCCAAUGCAAGAAGCUUUUGAUGUAACAAGACAUCUUCCACUCUAUCCAAGUUAACAUCAAGUCCGUAACUGCGCAGAAAACAAAAUUAGUAAAAUAAAUAAAUAAUGUAGAAUUCAUAGAAUUAGGUUCAUCAUCCUCCACAUCUAAAGAAAAAUGAAACAUUCAUGCUAUGGCUCUUAUGAAGUUUUACAGUGGAAAAUAUCUUGGAAAAUAUAGUGAAUACUUUUCCCAGUAAGGUUUUAAACAAAGCUUCAACAUAACAUAAGGUCUGGAAAGGUUGGCCUUGAAAUAACAUUUCUUGACAGACCUAAGGAAAAUUUUGUGCCUCCUGGAAAGGUACUUCCAAAAAGAAUUGACUGCGAAGUGCGGAACUAAUUUCAGUCCAUACACACAUUGCAGAGUUUCAAUUGUAAACCUUUACACUAGUCACAUGGUCAAACCGACCAACUCUUACAGAAAUAAUAGGCAAGAAAACAACACUCAAACAGCACUGCCAGCUCAAAAAAUAAUCAGGUCCAUACAGAACAAAUAUUAGAUCACAUAACCAAUUUGAUAUUCAAACAUAUGCAUAAACUUAUUCGUGCUCAAACAUUAAAAACUUCACUGAUACUGCUCCGAAAGCAUAUUAACUCAAGAAAUCAAUCAUGUUGGGAUCAUCAUUUGAGACUCUAAGAGCUUCAUAAGGGUUCGUACUUCAAUAAUACGGUUCGUACCAUAAUACACCAAUCCCAAAACUACGGAGCACUGGUUAACCAAAUAUCUUCGAAGACCUACUGAAGGGUUCAUGUUGAGACACCCCUACCUAAGCACAUGAGUUUCUCUCCAACCAGGAGCCCAAUCACAAUGCUAAAGCUUCUAAAGUCCCACAUCAACCACAGACGAAAUAGGCAAUUCUCCUCAACUAUAAAAGGAGAUUGUUCUCCCACAAUUGAUCCCUGAUGAUCUUAUUUUGCUUAAUCCACUAUUAGAACUCACUAAGUAAUGAUUCUGUCUAAAUCCUUGUAUCAUGUAAACUCUCUCUACAUUAUUUAUGAGAACUCCUCCAUCCGACGUAGCCCAAUUUAAGGUGAACCAUGUAUGAUUGCUGCCCUUUUAUCCCUUAACUCUGUACAUACUCUCAUCACUAGGUGACCGAAGCAACUUAGCAAGGAUCGCAUAUUGACACUCUACGUUAUUCCAAAGUCAACCCAGUUUUGUGCAUCAACAAAUACAAUAAUGUUUUGUUCUGAAAAAACUAAUUCCAGAAAUAAAUCAAUGGCGGAAGUUCGUUAAAAUUAAAGAAUAAAAAGAAAUGAAAUGAAAAACAAUCUUAUAGAGGAAAGCGAUCGAAGGGGAAUACCUAGGCGGCAAGCGGUUGAAGUGACCGUCCAACUGUUCACGGAAUUCGGGCAGAGUCAGAGCGUCUUCAUGGCCGCUCUCCACCAAGCGGUUGUAGACAUCGUUUCGGACAUCGUAGUUACUGAAGCUGACGAAGCUUCUCGGCGGCGACGAGCUCUCUCCGACGCCCUCGGUCAAAUCCAUAGGGGAAGCUCAAGUCAGCAGGUUUUCCACGAAAAUACAGAAGAGAAGGAGGAGAAAGCGAGCUCGGAGAGUUGUCAAUGAUAAGCAGAGGAUCUUUGACUGUUGGUGGAAUCCGGGAAGAAGACGAGGAUCUGUUGGGGAUUUCGGGCGGAAAGCAGAGGGCAAUUUCGUCAUACAAAAUCACUGUAGCAUCGUGAAGUUUCUCGAGAGCGAAGGCUAGUUUGGAGGAGAGAAUGUCAUGGUUGGAGUGAGUGAGUAGAGAGACAAAAGAAGACCUCCGUCUCAGCAAGAGAAAACUUUUUCCAUUUUUUAAUUUUUUUUUUAUAUAUAUUAUAUAUCAAAUAAUGUGGAUUGGAUAUGGUUGAAAAUGUGGGACAAUAUAAUAAUGUUUUGUAGUUAAGAAAACGCCUCGGUUUUUGAUAGAUUUUUUUUCAAUGUGAUCGUAUAUACGAAACGGUAUGUUAUAUGUUGUUGUUAAAGUAAAAUAAAAUUUUAUUUUAAAUUUAUUCUCUUAACUUAUAUAAUAAUUUAUGAUAUAUGUAACCGCGUUUUGGAUAUAUUGAAAAACCACUCUUAAAUUUUGGGCACAAUUUCAUGUGAGUCACAUCAUGUUGUAUAGGAGAAAAUAUGGCCUGCUGUUUACAAGUAAUCACAUAAAAAAGCUCAUACCAUAAUUAUGACGCAAUUGUAUAUUUAUUCUUUCUCUAAUAAUGGAUUCUCAUUUUGUAGAGAGGGAAAUGUUAAGGAGACUCAUAGUUUUUUAGGAUUGUGUUAUUCACACAUCCUGUUUAUCUUUCACAUAUUCCUCUUAGUUUUUACAAUCGGACCGAAUUAAUUAAAAAAUAUUAAAAAACAGAAAUUAACAAAAAAUGUGUAGAAAGUAAAAAUAAGAUGUGGAUAACACCACCUUUUUCUUAUUGUGAGUAGCAUAUCUAAUCACUAGAAGCAUUAGAUAUAUCCUAUGGAAGUUGAAAGCAAGUGUUCUGUUUAUAAGUGCUUACAAAAUUAUUUUUUAUUUAUUUAAUACGAAAAAGAGAUUACAAAGUAGAAGUGCUUAAGAGAAUAACACACCAAAACGAUCAAAAAGCAUCUGGCACAUAUAAAGGUACCAUUAUUCCACAACUGAGAAACGUGGAACUUUAUGUCCUAGGGCGUCCGCUACAAAGUUGACCACGAAGAAAGGAAUGAGAGUCCGAAUGUCUUUGAGUAAAGUAACGAGCGUCCAUGGAAGUUGAAUAUAGUGUAGACAACAAUCAUGACAUCCCCUUCAACUUUGACAUCUCUCCACCUAUGAGUGAAGGAUAGAGACACACUUUGAUCCAGAUAUCCAGGUAGACACUAAAAUUGAGGCAUGUUGACUAACAUUUAGAAGAUCACGAAGUCAUAACAUGUAAAUAAUGUGUAGAUUGUAUAAAUAAAUUAAAGAUUAUAAAUGCAUGUAAUGAAAAGAAGAGUAUCUAAUUAUACACAGCCAAUAUUCAAAACAUAUAGGUAUGUACACGCAAUUUAAAAUUAAAAAAAAAAAAGAUUCUGGAUUGUACUUAAAAGUAACAUUCGCCUUAAAACAUUCAUAAAUUCAUGAAAAUAUGACUUGAGCUUCUCCUAUGGACAUGGAAGAUAUGUUUGGUGAUGCAUUAGAGUAUGAUCCGCAUACAUCUUUGCAUAUAAAUUGGCCAAGAUAGGAAGUCUUUGACGGAUUAUGCCGUUUACCGCAGUAGACUUCGAGUUUUAGAAGACCAUCACACUCUUUGUAAUGGUAUGGUCAAUCAGAUGGUCGAGUAAAGAGUCACUUAAUUAAUAUUGCUUGUUCUUAUGUUCCUUUAUUUUUAUUUUUAUUUUUGAAGUCGGGUAUGAUUUAAUUUACGUAAUUGUUUAAUUUUAUUUAUGUAAUUGUGUGUUUUUAUGUAAUAGUGUGCUUUUAUUUAUAUUCUCAGUAUAACAACAAGUAUAAGCACGAAGAUAAUUAUCAUUAAGAAUAUUGACAUUAAAUUACAUAAAAGCAUUGAGUAAAUAGCAAUCAUAAAAAUAUUAACAUUACAUGAGCAUAAAAGAAUUGAGUAAAUAUAAUCAUAAACGUCACUGUACGUGGCAACAUGCUGCUAGUUGAUGAUUCAGUGGUUAAGGACGGAUUACAAGGCUUUCUUCAAACUAAAAAUUGGAGGUAUCGGGUCCGAACCUUGCUACUGGUGUGGACGCUAGACUUGUGACCAGGAGGAGGCUAAAAUGUCUCUGUAAGUCUUCCCGGCCCUUGAAAGAGAUGGAUAACCGUAGCUUACCAAUUGUUAUCCGCUCUAUAACCAACGGGGAGCUCUCCGUAGCUCGUUUGACUUCAGCAGUGAAUGAAUCAAAUAUCCACGUCGAUCUGCUUGAGGUAGCUAGAUCACCCUAAUCUAUGGAAGUUUAUUAUUUCCAAAUCUAUCUACGAUUAACCCCCAAUAUUUUCAAACAUAAUAAUACUUAACGAAGUGGAAUAAAAAUAAAUAAAAUAAACUUUGAAUUUUGCUACAGAUACUCGAGGUGUACAUAUACAAUAUGUGGACAUAUAUAUACCUUGACGAGAAGCUUGAGGCAAAUAUCAUCAGACUGGGCUGCAGAGCCCUUGGUCGUUUUGUUCUUAUUUCUGGCAAAAAGAUCAACCUCCUAUACAUCAGUACAUACAAUAUUAUUAAGUAAUAUACAUGCAAUACAAAAACGAGAUAGAGAGGGCGCUUGGAGCGCAAUUGCUUGGUUGCUGCUAAUGCCGAUGAAGCAAAGGUUUUUAGAAGCUUUAUAGAAUAAUGGAUAUAAUGGAACUUGAUGACAUAUGUGAGAAUAUGAUGAACGUUAUAUUUUUGAAGCUCUUUUUAUUAUGCCGACAAAUAUAUUAAUUUAUAUUUCUGAAAUGGUUUAUAGUGUGAAUAUUGUAGAGUAAAAUUUUGGUGCAUCUGAAAAACCAUCACGUGUUAUUAUUUCAUUCAAAACUAUAACACAUGUAUUUUCUUUUUUUAUUUAAUAUUCCUAAAAGACUAACAUUUCAACUAUGUACCAAAGCUACGGAAGUUUGUAGUUUCGAAUAUAUUGGUAGCUAAAUCACCCAACUCUACAACUUCAUUGCUUCGACUUUCUUUUGGCUAACAAAACGCCAAGCCAAACGACUUUGGAUAAAUCUUUAUCCACCUGCUAACCAAUCAUUUAUGCCCAGCUCUACCAUAAGAAGGAGAGGUUGUUCCGAAAGAGAUUUGCAAAAGGUUUUGUUCCAAUAAGGAUACUACUGUUCAACUCUCCACGAAGUUACACACAAAAAAUAAUAAUAAUAAUAAUAAUAAUAUGCACUUGUGAGAAGUGCCAACACUGUGCCACGAUCCCACACAUUCAUGUUAAACCUCUUAGAAGAGCAUAGGACCAGGUUGACGUAAGGAACGUCGCUAAUCAAGACGUCUCAAAUUACUACGGUUCUAGAGUCAACGUCUGCUCUUUAAAACUAUGAGACUAGGUGUUGAAGAAGAAAAUAUCAAAUAAACAAGACUCAAUUGUGAGUACACUUGACAUGAAUUGGGACAGACCAUACGAGAUCAUUGACAUAUAUCGCCCAGGCACAUACAUACUUAAAGAUGGCAGAACACAUGAUCAUCCAUGUAAUGUUGAUCAUCUAAAGUAUUACUACAAGUAGACAGUUCAACAUACUUAGUGAAGAGUCAAUUCAGACAAACUUUGUCUCAACCUGACACCUUAAACAAUCGUACUUAGCCAAACUUUAAAACAAACCAACAUUAUAACUUAAAAGCUCAUCCAUACAUACCUCAAUGAAGUUUAAAACCACCUUCAAAAAGGAACAUGAUUCAUAAGAGCAUCAACAUAAACUUUAAACAUGAUAAAAAUUCCACGAAGACAAAUCCACAAGGUAUCCAAGUCAAUGAUCAAUCAUAUUUAAAGCCAACAUUAGUACAUAAUUUUUUUAUUUUUAAAGUCAACAAGAGAAUACAACCUAAGUUUAGGACGCAACAAUCAACAUUCUCAUAAUAAAACUAAGAGACCACAAAUUCAUUCUCAAAGCAAAGUCAAGAUGCAAUAAUCAUCUUACAAAACCAUUUUGUUUUUUUUUUUCAAUAUAUUGAAUGAUGAGGUGUAACAACCCGUCCCAAAUUUUACAAUUUUAUAAAUUUUAAAAGUGUGAAUUGAUGAAAAUGCCCUAGAGGCAAGGAUUUUGACUUCCGUUGACCAUCAAUUUGAGAGAUGUAUGACUUAUUCUUUUAGCGUAAUUGUGUAGUACUCGUUAGUACGAACGCAUAGGUGAAGACCGUUUGCGAGUCUGAAUUAUAAUGGUAUAGAUAGGGACAUUUGAAAUUGUGUUACUAAACUAUAGAUUUAAAUUUAAUUAAGCUUCCCUCAAAUGUAUGUUAAUUAUGGGACCAAUUAGAUAAAUAUUUGAGGGACCAAUCAGCAUGGGUAACGAAAAGGGGAUCAGCCAAUCAGAAAAAAAAAAAAAAAAAAAAAAAAAGAGGGAGGGGGGUGGACUCCCAACUUUCCCGUGCACCCUUGAACCAUCCCGAUUUCAAAUCGGCGAACUUUCGCCAGUUUUUUGUUGAUCACCACCAUCCAUCACCUGCAACAUCUUUCACAUCUUCCCCUCUACUAUUUCCACUCAAAUUUGGGAUUUUUUUUAAGGUCAAAACCUUGUAAAACUGUGAGGGGUGGCCGAAAGUGUUCCACGGCGAUUCUGCCGUUCCGGCGAGUUUCACCACUCAUCACCACCUCUAAUCUACUCCCCUUGGACCCAGGAACAAAGCCCAAACAACCUUGGAGGCGUCGGAGCACCGGUGACGACGAAUUAAAGCACACCCAUUCUAGGGUUCUGGUGGGUUCGUGGAAAAUUGAGGCUCUUCCAGGUCAAAUUGGCCUUGGUCAUAGGUAUGAAAGUUGCUCCACUCAUUGAGAUCUUCAUUUCUGUGAAGUUUGAGAAUUUUUAGAAAUAGUUGGAUUUUCCGACGAGUUGGGGUGGCCGACCACCACCCACUGCGGCGCGUGCGGCGGCACGUGGCCACUUUUAGGCUAAAUUAGAUGUCUUGAAUUCAGUUUUGAUAUUCGUAUAAUGUAGGUUGAUCGUUUGAAUCUAAAUUCAUUACGAUACGUUAUUUGGUAAAAAUGUGAAUCGACGAUCCAACCGUUGGAUCGUCACUAAACUUUAAUACAUUCUAGUACAUAAUAUUUAAGGACCAUAGAAACUUACGGAUUAGGAAUCUGAUGAACAAAUCUUCCUGAAUUGGAUUUGUAAGUUUAUAAAAUAAAUGUUAACCGUCAUUUAGUUUUGGCAAUUGACGGAAGUCCGACCGUUAGAUCGUAAUGAAAUUUUAGUAUGUUAUUCUAGAAGCAUAAUUUGGAUCUUUAGAAGUUUCGGAUUGGAAAUCUGAUAUGCGGAUCUUCCGAAGUGAGUUUACAGGGUUGUAGACCCAACCGUCGAUCUUUGAUCGACGGUUGACUUAUGGUCAAUGGGUCUCAAACUAUUUUAGAAUGUCCUUGAGAAUGUGUUUUAUGUGAAUUACAUAUUCUAUUGAUAAGAGUUAUGAGAUGUGAUUAUGUAAUUGUUCUAGGCGCCAAUUAUUCGAGACGCCUCAAUGCAAGUGCUAGAGAAUCAUAGUGUGGACUCUAGGUGAGUGGGUCUUUUCCUUUUAUCAUAGGUAUAUAAUUGAUAGUUCCUCAAAUGCUUCUAAAGUGAAUUAUGCAUGUUACCUACAAUUAAUUAUUGUGAACUACGAAUGGCUUAAUCCCUAUUUAGGGUACAUAGGCAGUCUAACGAUACGUUAGAUGCAGCCAUACAAUAAAUGAGACUAACUAACUGAGACAAUAGUCUUGUUUAGGGAAUUGAGUAAUGUGAGGGACAUUGGUGGAAAAUAUAAGAUUUAACUUUAUGAUUUGGUGUUUAAAUAUUGGUCAUAAAUCAAUGAAUGAAGAAUCAGGAAUUUGAAGUAAGGAAACGUAAGUAAUGAUGGUUAAUUAAACUAGUAUCUAGUAGGGCUUACCAUUGAUAAUUAUCUCCGAAAAUAAGUAGUUCGGGAGUAGGGCGUUAUAGAUUAUGCAUUUCACACCAUGUUAUAUAUAUACUUGAAAAUACUAUGUUAUAGUUGAGUUUUAAAUUGCAUCAUGACAUAUUUAUAUGUGUAUCACCUAAACCUAAUUAUUGUGAAUGCUUCGAAGUGCCAAAUGAUGUUGCGGACGCCCAGGUAAGCUUCAGGUGAGUACACGUUGAUGAUAGUGAUGGUAGUGAGAUAUGUGAUGAGAUAUUAAUUGGCUAGCAUGUUGAUGAGAUAUUGAUUUAGCCGUACAGUUCACGUGAGGUGACUCUGGCUAGUAUAUUGAUGAGAUAUGUGAUGAGAUAUGGAUGAUGAGAUAUUGAUUUAGCUGUACAGGUCACAUAAGGUGACUCCAGCUAGUAUAUUGAUGAGACAUGUGAUGAGAUAUGGAUGAUGAGAUAUUAAUUGGCUAGCAUGUUGAUGAGAUAUUGAUUCAGUCGUACAGGUCACGCUAGGUGACUCCGGCUAGUAUAUUGAUGAGAUAUAUUAAGAGAUAUAAAUAAAGUUGUACAUGUCACUAUAAGUGACUCUGACUUAUAUGCUAGCAAUGAUUAAUAAGAUAUAUGAGGAGAUAUAAAUAAAGCUGUAUAGGUCACUAUAAGUGACUUCGGCUUAUAUGCUAGGAACGAUUAAUGAGAUAUGUGAGGAGAUACGGAUAAGUUGUACAGGUCACUAGAGGUGACUCCGACUUAUAAGCUAGCAUAUGUGACGAAUAUGUGAUAAGCUAGCAUAUGUGAUAAAUAUGCGAUGAGCUAGCAUAUGUGAUGAAUAUGUGAUAAGCUAGCAUAUAUGACGAAUAUGUGAUAAGCUAGCAUAUGUGAUAAAUAUGUGAUAAGCUAGCAUAUAUGAUGAAUAUGUGAUAAGCUAGCAUAUGUGAUGAAUAUGCGAUGAGCUAGCAUAUGUGAUAAGCUAGCAUAUGUGAUGAAUAUGUAAUAAGCUAGCAUAUGUGAUGAAUAUAUGAUAAGCUAGCAUAUGUGAUGAAUAUGUGAUAAGCUAGCAUAGGUGAUGAAUAUGUAAUAAGCUAGCAUAUGUGAUGAAUAUGCGAUAAGCUAGCAUAUGUGAUGAAUAUGCGAUGAGCUAGCAUAUGUGAUGAAUAUGCGAUGAACUAGUAUAUGUGAUGAGAUACAGGUAAGUCGUACAGGUCACCAUAGGUGACUUCAACUUGGGUACUAGCAUGAGUUAUUAAUCACAUGAUUAUUUGAUAUUGCUAACGAGAUGCUGUCUUGUGGUAUAUUUAUGAUAUUUUCUGAAAAUUAUACAGGUGUUGUAGCGAGGGGUUAUAAUGUUUUAAAUGGUUUCUAUUAAAAUUUAUUCACAGGGCUACUCACCUUUGUCUUGUCUUCACCCUCCAGGUUUUAUUAGCUGAGUUUUCUUAUCGUUGAAGAUUCGUGGCGGUUCUUGGUAUUGAAGAUUAUUUCGAGGGUACAAUUCUUAAUUCACUCUUAUGUACUUGCUUAUGCUCUAACAUUACGUGUGAAGUAGAUUCAUUCCCGCUCACCGGUGUACUCUGGUAUUUAGGCACUCUUAGGUUUUAAAUUAUUCACAUUUUUCCACAUCAUCACACUUUAUGGAUUCGUCACCUUCCAGGUGUCGGCCAGCACAGUUCGAUUCGGAGUCCUAGUAAACAUUCCGGGUCGGGGUAUGUUAUGAGGAGUGGCUAGGUUAAAGUUGUGGGGCAAUAUGUUAUGAAAGAAGCAGAAGCGAGAAUGUCAACUUGAGUAACAUAAACAUUGGUGAUGGGUUCUCCAUUAAUUUUCAUUUCUUCUAUGCAACGCGGGAUAGGUCAACAUGGUAGCUUGAUAUAGAAGAAUAUAUUUUGUGUUUUAGAAACAAAUUUUUUGUGAGUCACGUCGUAUUUUAUACAAAAAAAUGUGGGCCAUGAACUGCUAUUUACACAUAAUCACAAAAAUAAAUAAAUAAAUUCAUGCCAUGAUUAUGAUGUAGCUCCACAACUAUAAGCUUAUCUGGGAUGCAUUCUGAUAAGCUGACGAACUAGUGUACACAAUUGUAUUUUCAUUUGUUCGAAUAACUGGAGUUGAAUUUUGUUUAGUAUUAUCAUGUUUAUUUUUAUUUUUAUUUUUUACCUUAAGUAGCAUAUCCGGUUACUAGAAGCAUUACACAUAUCUUAUCUAUUUUCAUGUAAUGAGAGUGUGAGGCAAGUGUUUUGUUUAAGAAAAUGUUGAUAAGACAACUUUAUUUGGUACGGGAAAGAGAUUACAAACGAAAACACCUAGGGCGUAAUAAAGGGUAGAACUUGCAUAGGAAAAUUCUAUUCGAACCAAAAAGUUAUCAAAUAUUCUAUCCAAUUUAAAUAUGAAUCCAUGAAGUUUCGAAAUCCGAAAAAUUAAAAAAUACUGGAUAAGAACAGGAAUACAAUUUGCAAUUUGUAUAACAAUCUGUCCUUAAUUUUAAGAUUUUAUUAAUUUUAAAUGUGUGAAUUAAUCAAAAUGUUCUUAAAGGUUAGAUUGUUGACUUUCGUUGAUCGUUAUCUUAUAAUACAUACAAGCUACUAUUUUACUGUAUUUGCAUAUUACUCAUUACUACGAAUGUACAUGAUAAAGAUUUUACGAAAUUACGAAAUCAGGAGGUAUUUUAGCAGAUUCACUAUUCUGGAUAAUUUUUUCCUUAUUAUUUUAUAUUUUUCUGGUGGAAUUUUGUGUCUUGUGGAACCCAUACCCCACUUCUUCCUUGUCCCCGUGUCCCAUUUUCGCCAUACUUCUUGGUCUCUCUCAUUUCAAUCUCUCUCUUUGCCUUGUCACUCCAUCUCUUCUUCUGCCACCUUACCACCACCUACUCUCUCUCUCUAAAAAUCUCUCAUCUCUCACUCUCCAUUUAUUUGUCUCUCGGCAAACACCGAAUGGGUGCAAUGGCAACGCCAUCAUCGCCGCUAACCUUGUUACCCUGACGAGAUUUACGAGUUUUCCAGCCCAGAAACUAGGAUCUCAUACUGCCAACUCAACCCAGACAUGAACUUGC